GGGUAAGUUUAUUGCUAACACUUUUUCAGAUGUAUGUAGAUAUUUUUGUUUUAGUGAUAAAAUAAUAUCAAUUUCCAUGGAUAACGCUAGUAGCAACACUACUGCAAUAAGUAUUUUAACUAGAACACUUAAUCCUGCUUUUACUAAUAUUUUUCAUGUGAGAAGUAGACUUAGAGAAUAUUAUAAAAAAUGUGAUGAAUAUGGCCUUAGAGAAAGAAAGGUUCCUAAACCUUGCCCGACUAGGUGGAACUACAUGUACGAAAGUUUAGUAGUGGCG
rnacentral:lncRNA from 1 species